GACGAACGCUGGCGGCGUGCCUAAUACAUGCAAGUAGAACGCUGAAGAGAGGAGCUUGCUCUUCUUGGAUGAGUUGCGAACGGGUGAGUAACGCGUAGGUAACCUGCCUUGUAGCGGGGGAUAACUAUUGGAAACGAUAGCUAAUACCGCAUAACAAUGGAUGACACAUGUCAUUUAUUUGAAAGGGGCAAUUGCUCCACUACAAGAUGGACCUGCGUUGUAUUAGCUAGUAGGUGAGGUAAUGGCUCACCUAGGCGACGAUACAUAGCCGACCUGAGAGGGGGAUCGGCCACACUGGGACUGGGACACGGCCCAGACUCCUACGGGAGGCAGCAGUAGGGAAUCUUCGGCAAUGGGGGCAACCCUGACCGAGCAACGCCGCGUGAGUGAAGAAGGUUUUCGGAUCGUAAAGCUCUGUUGUAAGUCAAGAACGGGUGUGAGAGUGGAAAGUUCACACUGUGACGGUAGCUUACCAGAAAGGGACGGCUAACUACGUG
rnacentral:rRNA from 1 species